AAGUCGUAACAAGGUUCCGUAGGUGAACCUGCGGAAGGAUCAUUAGCGAAAGAUAAGGAGCGCUCUUUUUAGAGGCUUCGCCCCAUCUUUCUUCACACCUGUGCAUCGUUCGGGGCGGUCGGGCAUCUCCAAGUGCCUUUCGCCCCUGAUCAUAUCACUUUUAGCACCGAAAGUAACGAGGAUGUAGUUGAUACAAUCGAAAAGUAACAAAACUUUCAACAACGGAUCUCUUGGCUCUC
rnacentral:misc_RNA from 1 species